AUACUUACCUGACGCGACAGGCACCUUCAUCAACUAGGAGGUCCUCUCAGGAUGAGGCCCUUUCAUUGCACUUCCACUGGGUUGACUCCUGCGAUUACCCCAAUGUGGGUAACCAUCGUAUAAUUUCUGGUAGUGGGGACCAUGCCUCGAACCCUCCCCU